rnacentral:rRNA from 1 species
AUCAGCUUGUUGGUGAGGUAAUGGCUCACCAAGGCGUCGACGGGUAGCCGGCCUGAGAGGGUGACCGGCCACACUGGGACUGAGACACGGCCCAGACUCCUACGGGAGGCAGCAGUGGGGAAUAUUGCACAAUGGGCGCAAGCCUGAUGCAGCAACGCCGCGUGCGGGAUGACGGCCUUCGGGUUGUAAACCGCUUUUAGUAAGGAAGAAGGGGCUUCGGCCUUGACGGUACUUGCAGAAAAAGGACCGGCUAACUACGUGCCAGCAGCCGCGGUAAUACGUAGGGUCCGAGCGUUGUCCGGAAUUAUUGGGCGUAAAGAGCUCGUAGGCGGUUUGUCGCGUCUGCUGUGAAAACUAGAGGCUCAACCUCUAGCCUGCAGUGGGUACGGGCAGACUUGAGUGCGGUAGGGGAGAAUGGAAUUCCUGGUGUAGCGGUGGAAUGCGCAGAUAUCAGGAGGAACACCGAUGGCGAAGGCAGUUCUCUGGGCCGUAACUGACGCUGAGGAGCGAAAGCGUGGGGAGCGAACAGGAUUAGAUACCCUGGUAGUCCACGCCGUAAACGUUGGGCGCUAGAUGUGGGGACCUUUCCACGGUUUCCGUGUCGUAGCUAACGCAUUAAGCGCCCCGCCUGGGGAGUACGGCCGCAAGGCUAAAACUCAAAGGAAUUGACGGGGGCCCGCACAAGCGGCGGAGCAUGCGGAUUAAUUCGAUGCAACGCGAAGAACCUUACCAAGGCUUGACAUACACGAGAACGGGCCAGAAAUGGUCAACUCUUUGGACACUCGUGAACAGGUGGUGCAUGGUUGUCGUCAGCUCGUGUCGUGAGAUGUUGGGUUAAGUCCCGCAACGAGCGCAACCCUCGUCGCAUGUUGCCAGCACGUAAUGGUGGGAACUCAUGUGAGACUGCCGGGGUCAACUCGGAGGAAGGUGGGGAUGACGUCAAAUCAUCAUGCCCCUUAUGUCUUGGGCUUCACGCAUGCUACAAUGGCCGGUACAAAGGGCUGCGAUGUCGUAAGGCGGAGCGAAUCCCAAAAAGCCGGUCUCAGUUCGGAUUGAGGUCUGCAACUCGACCUCAUGAAGUCGGAGUCGCUAGUAAUCGCAGAUCAGCAACGCUGCGGUGAAUACGUUCCCGGGCCUUGUACACACCGCCCGU